rnacentral:rRNA from 1 species
UACGUAGGUGGCAAGCGUUGUCCGGAAUCACUGGGCGUAAAGCGCGCGUAGGCGGCGAUCUACGUCUGGGGUGAAAGCCCGGAGCUCAACUCCGGGACUGCCUUGGAUACGGGAUCGCUUGAGGAUUGGAGAGGCAAGGGGAAUUCCACGUGUAGCGGUGAAAUGCGUAGAUAUGUGGAGGAACACCGAUGGCGAAGGCAGCCCCCUGGGCUAACACUGACGCUCAUGCACGAAAGCGUGGGGAGCAAACAGG